UGGGACAGUGCGCAGGACGAAAGCCAUCUGGUAGCUUUGCUUGCAAGACCAGAUUAAGAAAGCACCAGCACAAAAACCACAAAGGAGAAGAUGAAGCUGUAUUUCCGGAGGAAAGCAAAGAUUUCUACCCAAAGCUGAGUGCAGGUCUGCUGGUGUCACUAGAGAGGAAGGAGACCGCAAGAAGACAGCGGCCGGGGGGAUCUAGGAGAUGGAAAGGGUCCUGAAAAAUUCUAAUCUGGAUAAUCUCUGGAUACUGGACAAUGAAGCCCAGGUGUGCUCUAAAAAAAUGGAGCAAAAUUUGGUCCAACUCAUGCCAAUUGUGUUCAACAGUUUAUAGGAUAAGUAGAUCCUUUCAGGCUGUCAUAGUUCAAGCUCUUGGAAUGACCAGUAAUAUAUACUUAAACAUAUGACAAAACUUAAGGGAAAAGAGGGCCCAAGGCAUGCAGGGGAACUGAGCAUAAAGGCCAUUGUAUUUCAUGUAUGACUUGACUGUGUUUCAGUAAAGCAAUUUUAGCUCUAAAC
rnacentral:lncRNA from 1 species